GGGAACUGAAACAUCUAAGUACCCCGAGGAAAAGAAAUCAACCGAGAUUCCCCCAGUAGCGGCGAGCGAACGGGGAGCAGCCCAGAGCCUGAAUCAGUGUGUGUGUUAGUGGAAGCGUCUGGAAAGGCGCGCGAUACAGGGUGACAGCCCCGUACACAAAAAUGCACAUGCUGUGAGCUCGAUGAGUAGGGCGGGACACGUGGUAUCCUGUCUGAAUAUGGGGGGACCAUCCUCCAAGGCUAAAUACUCCUGACUGACCGAUAGUGAACCAGUACCGUGAGGGAAAGGCGAAAAGAACCCCGGCGAGGGGAGUGAAAAAGAACCUGAAACCGUGUACGUACAAGCAGUGGGAGCCUCUUUAUGGGGUGACUGCGUACCUUUUGUAUAAUGGGUCAGCGACUUAUAUUCUGUAGCAAGGUUAACCGAAUAGGGGAGCCGAAGGGAAACCGAGUCUUAACUGGGCGUUAAGUUGCAGGGUAUAGACCCGAAACCCGGUGAUCUAGCCAUGGGCAGGUUGAAGGUUGGGUAACACUAACUGGAGGACCGAACCGACUAAUGUUGAAAAAUUAGCGGAUGACUUGUGGCUGGGGGUGAAAGGCCAAUCAAACCGGGAGAUAGCUGGUUCUCCCCGAAAGCUAUUUAGGUAGCGCCUCGUGAAUUCAUCUCCGGGGGUAGAGCACUGUUUCGGCAAGGGGGUCAUCCCGACUUACCAACCCGAUGCAAACUGCGAAUACCGGAGAAUGUUAUCACGGGAGACACACGGCGGGUGCUAACGUCCGUCGUGAAGAGGGAAACAACCCAGACCGCCAGCUAAGGUCCCAAAGUCAUGGUUAAGUGGGAAACGAUGUGGGAAGGCCCAGACAGCCAGGAUGUUGGCUUAGAAGCAGCCAUCAUUUAAAGAAAGCGUAAUAGCUCACUGGUCGAGUCGGCCUGCGCGGAAGAUGUAACGGGGCUAAACCAUGCACCGAAGCUGCGGCAGCGACACUAUGUGUUGUUGGGUAGGGGAGCGUUCUGUAAGCCUGUGAAGGUGUACUGUGAGG
rnacentral:rRNA from 1 species